UACGUAGGGCGCAAGCGUUGUCCGGAAUUAUUGGGCGUAAAGAGCUCGUAGGCGGCUUGUCACGUCGGGUGUGAAAGCCCGGGGCUUAACCCCGGGUCUGCAUUCGAUACGGGCUGGCUGGAGUGUGGUAGGGGAGAUCGGAAUUCCUGGUGUAGCGGUGAAAUGCGCAGAUAUCAGGAGGAACACCGGUGGCGAAGGCGGAUCUCUGGGCCGAUACUGACGCUGAGGAGCGAAAGCGUGGGGAGCGAACAGG
rnacentral:rRNA from 1 species